UGUUUGAGACACUGUUGAGAAACUCGGUGUGAGAUUACUAUUCUUUGAAAAAUUACUGAAACAGGCCUGAACAUCUGAUUUUCAUGAUGAUCGCAGUGCAGGAAUCAAUGCUGAGGACAUUGUUUUUAAACAACAUUUCCAAGAAAUGAACAUGGCAGGAUUAGUAGCGGGGAACUAUAGGUCAUGUUUAAGUGAAUAAAUCUCUCUGUGUGACCCAAACAUAAGUAAGAAAACUGUAUCACACAUUCAGACUGUACUUCAGCCCAAUGACAAAUUUGUUUAUGGAUCUAUAUGCUAAGUCCUAUUUGUGUGUUAUUGUACCGUAUUCACUAGGGAACACUGACCUUUUCUUGUACGGCUAAUGGAUUGAAGUAUUGAGUUUAUGGCUUUGGUAAUUAAUUUGUUAUUUUAUGUACUUAUUUGUUUAAAAGGUGAAACAAAACAUCA